UUAUUUUGAAAGAAAGAGACUCACAGGAAGUGGUUAAUGCAGGAUCUUCACCACUCACGGACUUUCACCGUCGUGUUUCCAGCAAAGGUUUCCAGUCGUUUUCAGAUACACAAAGUGAGGAGACUGACGCUAAUGAUGACCAUACUGAAUCAGAUGACGACAGCAGCAGCAGCAGCAGGAACCUCCAAGUUCAACCUAUUUUUGCUGCACCUAAAGGUCCCUGAGACAUUUCUCAAACAAGAGCUGCUGGCCCUGCACAACGGAUCCUGAAGAUCUUCCCUCGCACUCAGCAUGGUCAGCGUAUUCAACUUAUACAUUCUCACUGCAAAAUUGAGAACAAUCACAACAAUAUCCUAGACCAGUGGUCACCAACCUUUUUAAGUCCAAGAUCCCUGACCUCGGCCUUGGUGAAAGGCAAGAUCUACCUAUUGAAGUGUUGAUAGAAAAAGACAGCUAACACUGUGUACUUCCUACUUGAGGCCUUUUAUUUGCCUGUAUUUGAAUUACAUGCACCUUGCUGCAACAUUCAAAUUGAUGCAACCAAGAAAAGACUAAUUAAUUGGCCUAUCAAACAGCUGUCUUGCUUAAAGAAUUGUACAAAAUAACAUUCACUUCAGAGUCAUGUAGUUUCUUAACACAAAAAUAAAGGCAUGAGGAAUACCAGCUAACAACAUAUUGACAUUCUU